UGCCAGCAGCCGCGGUAAUACGCACUGUGCAAACGUUAUUCGGAAUCACUGGGUUUAAAGGGUGCGCAGGCGGUCUUGUCCGUCAGGUGUGAAAGCUCGGGGCUCAACCCCGGAAGUGCACUUGAAACAGCAAGACUUGAAUACGGUAGAGGAGAGAGGAAUUCCUGGUGUAGAGGUGAAAUUCGUAGAUAUCAGGAGGAACACCGAUGGCGAAGGCAUCUCUCUGGGUCGAUAUUGACGCUGAGGCGCGAAGGCGUGGGUAGCGAACGGGAUUAGAUA
rnacentral:rRNA from 1 species